UUACUCCACUAAUCCCUUCUUCCAGUUGUAUAUAGUUCUCAUCUUUAUUGUUUUUCUCUAUUUCUAAAGCUUUUUUCUUUUCAAGAAUUCUGCAAUUCAUUAGGUUAUGCCCAAGCUUUUUACACUGCUUACUAUACUUAGGGAUGUUCUCGUAUUCGAUUUUCUGAGUAAACUCUUUUAACGGUGUGUUCUCAUUCUCCAAUCCCACAUAUACAGUGACUAUAAUAUGUUUGAGCAGAUCAAUUUUCACCCUAACUUUGGCCAUACUUGGCCUAGUUUUACCCCAUGUCGCAGCAUCUAGAGCUUGUGGAGUACCAACCUCACUACAAAUUUGUUUGGCAUAAUGCCAAGUGUGCAUAUUAAAUGUAAUGCCAUGGAGUAAAACCCAUACAUGAACAAUUGGAAUAUCUUCAUCUGGUAUGAAAUUCAGUGUCCACUUUUGUAGCCACUUCUGAAGUCCGUCGCUUUCUACAACUCUCUGAAUGUAGACCUAGUUUUUUCAAUUUGGGGCCUUGGUUUCAAAAAUCUUCCAACAAAAGUGAGUCUACAUUCUUCAGCCAUUACUCUGUAGCAAUCCUUGGCUUUGAAGAUCACUGCAGGCAUUCCAUUGUGAGUGAUAUGCCUAGCAAUGACUGGUUCUCUGGGAUGGCAGAUGGUAGUGAUAUGAGUAGGUGUAGCAGUGGUGAUUGUGGUAGCAUAUGUUGGAAUAUUUGCAAUUCCUUCAACAAUUGGGUUAGCCAUAGUAGGAGAUUCAGUUUGGUUGGUAGUACGCGCCAGUGCGACUCCGUCCGACAGCGCCAUAGGGCAGAGCGUGAAGGUGACGCUCUAAAAUUACCGUUUAAGAGUGCCAACAGUUUAUUGUACGGAGAAUUCCUGUUUUGUCAGGUGAUGUUGAAUUUGUUAGGCUGGAUAUUUUUGGUAUCAACCUUGAGAAUAUAAUUAGAAGAAUGGAUAGGGUUGCAGUGGGAGCCUAAAAAAGAUAAAAGUGAUCAAAGAGUAAAUAUUUUUUUUUGUUCUAAAAGUUUUAACAAUAAUUAUUAAGACAUAUUAUAAUUUUCUUUAACGCGCGGAAAAAUUCACUAGUUUCUAAAUAAAAAACGCUUCCGUCAAUUAGCUCAUAGUCAGAUGGUUAAAAAGUACACCCUCAAAUGACAACCCCAAAAGGGCACUCCAGUCAUUUCAAAGAAAUGUAAAUUGUCUUAUCCUCCGCAAAGCAUAUCAUUUUCAGCUUCACAUAGAAAAACUGUAGUGAGAGAAUGGGAGGGGGAAUGGAGUAUAACAAGAACAGGUGGAUAGAGGAAUGGGGAGCGGCGAGGGAGAACCUUGAGCACAACUUCCGCUGGACUCGCCGGAACCUCGCUAUUGUCGGUAUCUUCGGUAUUGCUGUCCCUGUCUUAAUUUACAAGGGAAUCGUCAAAGAGUUCUAAGGCGGACUGAAAAUUUUAUCAAGCGAGUCAGGAGAAUGAACAAUUAGAGUUCUAUUGAUUAGCAUGACUGGACUAAUUUGGCCUACAUUUACGUUUGGAAAUAUUGGACACCUCAUUGUCUUUAUCUUUCCUUUUUUUCCCCAUUAAAUUUCUUUUGUUGUAUGUCAUGAGAACUAAUUGAUUGGAAUUUUUAGAAAAAGAGAAAUAGUCGAUCCAAAGGUGCUUGUUAGAAGUUUUUUUCAAUUGAAAGGUUUGCAAUGAAUCAUAAGAUGAAUAUCAAAUAGUAAAAAGACCAAAAACCUUGGAAGGAAUAAAAUGCCCAAAACUUCAACAAUCAGAAACUUUCACAACAAUCGGAAUUUGACCUCCUGUGCCUGUGAAUUAAAGAAAGGAGGAGGUCAAUCAAAAAAAAAAAGAGAUGUUAAUUAAUCAAAGGUCCAACUGAUCACCACGCCUGUAUUGUAAAUAUGCAGUUAGGAAUAAUCCAGCCAAAGUAAUAGGAAUUAGACCUAACACGAUUCCAAAUAG